UGCCAGCCGCCGCGGUAAUACGAAGGUCCCAAGCGUUGUUCGGAAUUACUGGGCUUAAAGAGUUCGUAGGUGGUUAAAAUAGUUGGUGGUGAAAUCCCAGAGCUUAACUCUGGAACUGCCAUCAAAACUUUUUAGCUAGAGUAUGAUAGAGGAAAGCAGAAUUUCUAGUGUAGAGGUGAAAUUCGUAGAUAUUAGAAAGAAUACCGAUUGCGAAGGCAGCUUUCUGGAUCAUUACUGACACUGAGGAACGAAAGCAUGGGUGGCGAAGAGGAUUAGAUA
rnacentral:rRNA from 1 species